rnacentral:rRNA from 1 species
GACGAACGCUGGCGGCGUGCUUAACACAUGCAAGUCGAGCGGUGAGGCCUUUCGGGGUACACGAGCGGCGAACGGGUGAGUAACACGUGGGUGAUCUGCCCUGCACUUCGGGAUAAGCCUGGGAAACUGGGUCUAAUACCGGAUAUGACCUCCUAUCGCAUGCUGGGUGGUGGAAGGAUUUAUCGGUGCAGGAUGGGCCCGCGGCCUAUCAGCUUGGUGGUGGGGUAGUGGCCUACCGAGGCGACGACGAGUAGCCGACCUGAGAGGGUGAGCGGCCACACUGCGGCGGAGAGACGGCCAAGACUACUACGGGAGGCAGCAGUGAAGAAUACUGCACAAGGGGAAAGCCUGAUGCAGCGACGCCGCGUGGGGGAUGACGGCCUUCGGGUUGAAACCCUCUUUCAGCAGGAACGAAGCGCAAGUGACGGUACCUGCAGAAGAAGCACCGGCUAACUACGUG